CGAGGACGUGAUGAUGUCCUCACGCGGUCAGCUAGAGGACAUGAAUGAGGAAUUCGAGGAUACCAUGGUGAUCGAUUUGCCGGCGUCGAGAAACCGGAGAGAAAGAGCUGAACUCAGACCAGACUUUUUUGACUCUACGGCCAUAAUGGAAGAUGAUGCUGGAUUCGGAAUGCAGAUGUUUUGAGAGUGAUUUCAGCCUCUGGGGAUCACAACCAGCAACCAACAAGAAUCACAUCUUAAAUGUUUAGUUUGUGUUUUAAUGGCAGUUUCACACAACUACGCAAGCAUGUCAGCUUCCUUUCUUAGUUUUGUGGUCGGCCAUAAACCCAUUGUGAGCCUUUCCCGUCAGUCAGCAUUUCCUCAGUUCAUAAGGACCAAGAAAGCCUAUAAAAUCUGUAAUCUGCUGGUCUUACAUUGCUGUUAGGAUUUCAGCAACCUCUCAGCAGUAUCGGUUCCUGUGUUUCAUAUCCAGUGAUUUCUCAGAGCAGAUGUGGUUUAAUCAGACAUUGUUCGGACAGACGUAUUGUGACUCCACUGCUUUCUAGCUAUUUUAAGACUAUC